GCCGAAAAAUGUCACUUUUCAGAUGGUUUUUGGUAAAAAUGAAAGUGGCCGCAUCCGUGUUCAUCCUCAACCUUUAUAUAUGUUAUGUAUUAUCAUAAAAUACAACUUACAUUUCAAUAUUAAGGAUGAACACGAAUGCGGCCACUUUCGUUUUACAUGAAAACCGUCUAAAAUUUAACUAAAAUGCUAGAAUUAUGAGGAUUUCAGUAAUUUAGCAUGACUUAAUGGUGCUAGUACCGGAUAUAUGUGCAUUGUAUUGUCAAAAACAGCCCAUAUUCAUUUAGCAGAAGCAUUCUACUGUCCAAUAAAUAACUAAAGGUUUACAUUUUAACAAUUUUAUAAAACUGCUAUAUUUUGGGGCCAAAAAGGGGUCUUUCUGAACCU
rnacentral:lncRNA from 1 species